GAUGAACGCUGGCGGCGUGCUUAACACAUGCAAGUCGAACGAUGAAAGCGGGAGCUUGCUCCUGCUGGAUUAGUGGCGAACGGGUGAGUAACACGUGAGCAAUCUGCCCCGAACUCUGGGAUAAGCGUUGGAAACGACGUCUAAUACCGGAUACGACGCGCGAAGGCAUCUUCUGCGCGUGGAAAGAACUUCGGUUCGGGAUGAGCUCGCGGCCUAUCAGCUAGUUGGUGAGGUAACGGGCCACCAAGGCGACGACGGGUAGCCGGCCUGAGAGGCUGACCGGCCAAACUGGGACUGAGACACGGCCCAGACUCCUACGGGAGGCAGCAGUGGGGAAUAUUGCACAAUGGGCGCAAGCCUGAUGCAGCAACGCCGCGUGAGGGACGACGGCCUUCGGGUUGUAAGCCUCUUUUAGUAGGGAAGAAGCGAAAGUGACGGUACCUGCAGAAAAAGCACCGGCUAACUACGUGCCAGCCGCCGCAGUAAAAC
rnacentral:rRNA from 1 species